CAGUAGCCGCGGUAAUACAGAGGGUGCGAGCGUUAAUCGGAUUUACUGGGCGUAAAGCGUGCGUAGGCGGCUUAUUAAGUCGGAUGUGAAAUCCCUGAGCUUAACUUAGGAAUUGCAUUCGAUACUGGGAAGCUAGAGUAUGGGAGAGGAUGGUAGAAUUCCAGGUGUACCGGUGAAAUGCGUAGAGAUCUGGAGGAAUACCGAUGGCGAAGGCAGCCAUCUGGCCUAAUACUGACGCUGAGGUACGAAAGCAUGGGGAGCAAACAGGAUUAGAUACCCGCGUAGUCCCUGUCUCUUAUAC
rnacentral:rRNA from 1 species